CCUACGGGAGACAGCAGUAGGGAAUAUUCCACAAUGAGCGAAAGCCUGACGCAGCGACGCCGCGUGCAGGAUGAAGGUCUUCGGAUCGUAAACCGCUGUCAGCAGGGAAGAACGGUCACUAUACUAAUUAACAGCAAAUUGACGGUACCUGCUAAGGAAGCAACGGCUAACUCAGUGCCAGCAGCCGCGGUAAUACGGAGGGUGCGAGCGUUAAUCGGAAUUAAUGGGCGUAAAGCGGUCGUAGGCGGUAUGUUAAGUCAAGGGUGAAAUCCCCGGGCUCAACGUCGGGACCGCCUUUGAAACUGGCAAACUAGAGUGAGUGAGAGGUAAGUGGAAUUCCAGGUGUAGGAGUGAAAUGCGUAGAUAUAUGGAGGAACAUCAGAGGCGAAGGCGACUAACUGGCUCUAAACUGACGCUGAGGGGCGAAAGCGUGGGGAGCAAACAGGAUUAGAUACCCGAGUAGUC
rnacentral:rRNA from 1 species